rnacentral:lncRNA from 1 species
GUUCCGUUCUUGCAUUUAUUCCAAAACUAAGACUGCCUAUUUAUAGGCUUACAAGCAAACUAAAAUGGCUAAAAAAAUCUCAACUAACAUCACAAUUUAUUGCCACUAAUUCAUACUGACUUUGACUGACUAAAUCCAGAAAAUACGGAUCAAAUAUUUGAACUUAAACCAAUAUCUAUGACUUGGUCUAACUGGAAAUUAACACAUCCAAUUUCUGAAUCAACUUUCAACACUCCCCAUUGAUUCAAAAUUUCAAACUCCAAGUUGAUUCUUGAAAAAAAAAAUGUUUUUCACGAGGAAGCGAUUUUGUUUGAAUAUCAGCUAUCUGCUCAUUUGUGUUGCAAUACUGCAGAAUAUUCUGCCUUUUUCCUACAAGCUCUCGAAUGAAGUGAACUUGAAUAUCUAUAUGCUUUGUUGUUUAAUGGUAAGCUGAAUUCUAGGACAUGGCAAUUGUAGCAUUGUUGUCACAAUAGAUUUCAGUUCUUCCCUUUUGUUUCUGAUCAAGGUCUGAAAGUAGCCUUUGUGAUCAUAUGGCUUGACAUGCUGAUGAAGUUACAGCUGCAUAUUUAGCUUCAGAUGAAGAUAAAGUUGUUGUUGCUUGUUUCUUUGAACUCCAUGAUAUGGCUCCUGACCCCAAAUUGAAAAUAUAACCUGAAGUGCUCUUUCUAUCUUCCAAACAACCUACGAAUAACUAUCGGUAAAUACAAACACCUUGAAAUUUGAAACAUGGCAAUACCGUAACACAAAGUCUAUUGUUCCAGCAACGUAGCUCAAGACCCUUUUUGCAACUCCAAGGUGAAUCUUUGAAGGACAAUGCAUGAACCUAGAAAUCAUUCCAACUGAAAAUGCUAUGUUAGGUCUGGUAUGAGUUAAGGAUAUCAAUCCACCAAUCAAGCUUCUAAAAUAACUUGAGUUUGCUUGUUCAGUACCAUCAUCUAUCUGCUACUUUUCAUUCAAAUUCAAAGGUGUUGUUGCAACUAUGCAAUUCGGCAUAUUGAAUAUUUUAGGAAGAUAAGUUGCAUAUUUCCUUUGUGAAACAAAAACUCCGUCUUCAGCUAGCUUCACUUCUAGGCCAAGGAAAUAACGCAAAAGACCCAAAUCUGACAUUUCAAAUUUAUUCUUCAUAUGCUCUUUAAAUUCAUCAAUAAGAGAAGAAGAAUAACCCAUAUAAAUUAUAUCAUCAACAUAAAGACAAAUAAUGAGAAGAUCAAUUUUACCAUGUCUCUUUAAAUAAAGUGUAGGCUCACUUUUGCUUCUUUCAAAUCUAUUUUGAUGAAGGUAAGAAUCAAUCUAACUGUACCAUCCCGUGGAGAUUGUUGUAGACCAUAAAGGGAUUUCUUCAACCUAUAGACCUUGUUUUCCUUUUCCGAAAUGAUGAAACAUUCUGGUUGAGAGACAUAAACUUCUUCCACCAAUUUUCCAUUUAAAAAUGUAGAUCUGAAAUUGAAUUGAAACACAGGCCAACUCAAUUGUGCUGCCAAGGCUAAAAUGGUUCUCACUAUUUCAAAUCGAGCAAUAGGAGAAAAUGUGCCAUCGUAAUCAAUACCUUGUUGUUGGGAAUAUCCCUUUGCCGAGUUGAGCUUUGUGCUUUUCUAUUUUUUCCAUUUGAACGGUGCUUCAUUCGAUAAACCAUUUUACACCAAUAACAUUUUUACCUUCGGGUAGCUCCACCAAUUCCCAUGUCUUAUUUUUCUUAAUUUUCUCAAGCUCUUCUUUUCACUGUGCUACACCAUUCUUCUUUAUUCGCUGCUUCUUUAGAGCUGGUUGGAUUUGAAACAAACAAAGCUUGAUUUGUCUCAUGAAUUUCCCUUAAUGACCUGAAUUUCCUUGGAGAUGACUCAUUUGAAGAAGCUUGUGUGGAAGAAGAGCUGUUAUUACUUGAAGGGCUGGAUGUUAUUGAAUUUGAAAGGACUAUGCUUGGUGAACUAGGAGUUGUUGGUCCCUCUUUUCUAGUUGGUGAAGGUUUACUUGUCGGCACUUUGAUAUGAAUGACUUCAUUAUUCUCAUCGGCAACAUGAUCAUUUUCACGCCAAUUCGAGCUUGCUUCUUCAUCGAAUACAACAUUCCUACUAAUAGCUACGUUGCCAAUAACAUGAUUAUAUUGUCUAUAUGCUUUAUAUUGAGAACAAUAACACACAAAAAUAAAUUUUGCAGAUUUUUCAUCGAGUUUACAACGAUUACGUGAAUCAUUCAAAUCAUAGGCAAUAAGCCAAAAAAAUUUAAGUGACUUACCCAAGGCCUUGUACCAAUCCAAGCUUCAUAUAGAGUUCGGUUCAAAAAAGCUUUUGUCGGAGAUAAAUUUAACAAGUAGACUGCAGUAGCAACAACUUCUGCCCAAAAUUGGUCUAGAAUUUCCUUAGCCUUUAGCAAGCUUCUUUCCAUCUCAACAACUGUCCAAUUCUUCCUUUCAACCACUUCAUCUUGCUCCGGAGUAUUUGGUGCAGUUAAUUUCCUGCAUAAGCCAUUUUUAUCACAAAACUGAUUGAAUUCAUGAGAAACGAACUCACCAUCUCAAUCUGUACGAAGUGGUUUUUUACUUAUUCUAUUUUGCUUUUCAACAAAUGCUUUGAGCCUUUUGAAAGCUUUAAAUGAU